GAUGAACGCUAGCGGCAGGCUUAAUACAUGCAAGUCGAACGGGGCAGCAAUGCCUAGUGGCGGACGGGUGAGGAAUACGUAGGAAUCUGCCCUUAAGUGGGGGAUAACCAGGGGAAACCCUGACUAAUACCGCAUGAUCUCUUCGGAGCAAAGAGGGGGACCGCAAGGCCUCUCGCUUCUGGAUGAGCCUACGUCUGAUUAGCUAGUUGGUAGGGUAAAGGCCUACCAAGGCGACGAUCAGUAACUGGUCUGAGAGGAUGAUCAGUCACACCGGAACUGAGACACGGUCCGGACUCCUACGGGAGGCAGCAGUGGGGAAUAUUGGACAAUGGGCGCAAGCCUGAUCCAGCAAUGGCGCGUGUGUGAAGAAGGCCUUCGGGUUGUAAAGCACUUUAGCCUGGAAAGAAAAAACUUUGGUUAACACCCAAAGUCUUGACGGUACCAGGAGAAUAAGCACCGGCUAACUCUGUGCCAGCCGCCGCGGUAAAAC
rnacentral:rRNA from 1 species